AUUGAACGCUGGCGGCAUGCCUUACACAUGCAAGUCGAACGGUAACGGGCCUUCGGGUGCCGACGAGUGGCGAACGGGUGAGUAAUGUAUCGGAACGUACCUUUCAGUGGGGGAUAACGUAGCGAAAGUUACGCUAAUACCGCAUAUUCUGUGAGCAGGAAAGCAGGGGAUCGCAAGACCUUGCGCUGAUUGAGCGGCCGAUAUCAGAUUAGCUAGUUGGUGAGGUAAAGGCUCACCAAGGCGACGAUCUGUAGCGGGUCUGAGAGGAUGAUCCGCCACACUGGAACUGAGACACGGUCCAGACUCCUACGGGAGGCAGCAGUGGGGAAUUUUGGACAAUGGGGGCAACCCUGAUCCAGCCAUGCCGCGUGAGUGAAGAAGGCCUUCGGGUUGUAAAGCUCUUUCGGCCGGGAAGAAAUCGUAUGGGUUAAUAACCCUGUGCGGAUGACGGUACCGGCAUAAGAAGCACCGGCUAACUACGUGCCAGCAGCCGCGGU
rnacentral:rRNA from 1 species